GCACUUUUUCAAUGUGCUUGCCAACGAGAAGGCGUGAUGACUAAUUCGUAUGUCAAUCCAUAUCAACUUUCGAUGUCAUUGACUGCGCCUACCAUGGUGACCACUGGUAAUGGGGAAUCAGUGUUCGAUUCCAUACAGGGACCCUGACAAACGGCUACCACAUGCAAGAAGGGCAGC